CAGAUUGCUUUCCAAAACCCCAAGUAAUCUCCAAAAGGGAGCAUGAGUAAACAACUGAGGAACUUCAGAACAACAAUGGCUGUACCUGGAAGCAAGACCCCAUAUCCUUCUCAGGCAAUGAGUUUCAGCCCAGUAGCUGCUUCAUCAGAUUUAUCACCACCAAGACCCAGCACCUGCCAGGGAAAACUUGUAGCAGGAGGCACCAACACCACAAAGCAGCUGGUGGGAACACCAAAGCCACUGAGAGAGGACAUCAGCAAGCUCCUGGGAGUCAUCCAAGAUGGACAUGACAUCUGUACCUCUAUGGCCUUUCAAAUCAAGAUCAGGGGACAACAGUGACAUUUCUAGUAACCUCCAGGGCAGCAGAUGUAUCAGUGAUAACAUUCUCUACUACCUAAAUAAGGCAGGGCAGCAGGGAAUGUCACACUGCAGCAAGAUAUGAUCAGCUAUUUGCUUGGACAUGAAUUUGUGUCCAGAUUUGUGCUUACAUGGAUUAAGAAAUAUAAACACGGAAGUUCAACAACAAGUACUCAAAUAUAAAGCCUACAAGGAAGAAAGAAAACUUACACAAUAAAAAGUUAGACAGUGAAAUAAUGUUGGAUGUG
rnacentral:lncRNA from 1 species